UACGAAGGGUGCAAGCGUUACUCGGAAUUACUGGGCGUAAAGCGUGCGUAGGUGGUGAGUUAAGUCUGUCGUGAAAGCCCCGGGCUCAACCUGGGAAUGGCGAUGGAUACUGGCUCGCUAGAGUGCGGUAGAGGAGAGUGGAAUUCCCGGUGUAGCAGUGAAAUGCGUAGAGAUCGGGAGGAACAUCAGUUGCGAAGGCGGCUCUCUGGACCAGCACUGACACUGAGGCACGAAAGCGUGGGAGCAAACAGG
rnacentral:rRNA from 1 species